rnacentral:rRNA from 1 species
GUGAGGAAUAUUGGUCAAUGGGCGAGAGCCUGAACCAGCCAAGUCGCGUGAAGGAUGACUGUCUUAUGGAUUGUAAACUUCUUUUGUAGGGGAAUAAAGACUGGCACGUGUGCUGGAGUGAAUGUACCCUACGAAUAAGCAUCGGCUAACUCCGUGCCAGCAGCCGCGGUAAUACGGAGGAUGCGAGCGUUAUCCGGAUUUAUUGGGUUUAAAGGGUGCGUAGGCGGCCUGUUAAGUCAGCGGUGAAAUCUAGGGGCUUAACUCCUAAAUUGCCAUUGAUACUGGUGGGCUUGAGUGUAGAUGAGGUAGGCGGAAUGCGUGGUGUAGCGGUGGAAUGCAUAGAUAUCACGCAGAACUCCAAUUGCGAAGGCAGCUUACUAAGGUACAACUGACGCUGAAGCACGAAAGCGUGGGUAUCAAACAGGAUUAGAAACCCUAGUAGUCC